rnacentral:rRNA from 1 species
CCUACGGGGCGCAGCAGUGGGGAGUAUUGGGCAAUGGGCGCAAGCCUGACCCAGCAACGCCGCGUGAAGGAAGAAGGCUUUCGGGUUGUAAACUCCUUUUGUCAGGGACGAAGCAAGUGACGGUACCUGACGAAUAAGCCACGGCUAACUACGUGCCAGCAGCCGCGGUAAUACGUAGGUGGCAAGCGUUAUCCGGAUUUACUGGGUGUAAAGGGCGUGUAGGCGGGACUGCAAGUCAGAUGUGAAAACCACGGGCUCAACCUGUGGCCUGCCUUUGAACCUGUCGUUCUUGUGUACUGGAGAGG